AUUGAACGCUGGCGGCAGGCUUAACACAUGCAAGUCGAGCGAGUGGCGGACGGGUGAGUAAUGUCUGGGAAACUGCCUGAUGGAGGGGGAUAACUACUGGAAACGGUAGCUAAUACCGCAUACCAUCAGAUGUGCCCAGAUGGGAUUAGCUAGUAGGUGGGGUAAUGGCUCACCUAGGCGACGAUCCCUAGCUGGUCUGAGAGGAUGACCAGCCACACUGGAACUGAGACACGGUCCAGACUCCUACGGGAGGCAGCAGGGGGGAAUAUUGCACAAUGGGCGCAAGCCUGAUGCAGCCAUGCCGCGUGUGUGAAGAAGGCCUUCGGGUUGUAAAGCACUUUCAGCGGGGAGGCGUUACCCGCAGAAGAAGCACCGGCUAACUCCGUGCCAGCAGCCGCGGUAAUUC
rnacentral:rRNA from 1 species